AAAUGGUUGGACUCCUUUUAGAUUAGAGGCAAUUUCAAUUGAUUAGAAUUGGCUUAACCCUACCGCACCAACCGAACUAGACAACGGUGCGGUAGGGGUAAAUUAUCCGCAUUCGGUGCGGG
rfam:Coxsackievirus B5 complete genome